AUUGAACGCUGGCGGCAUGCUUUACACAUGCAAGUCGAACGGCAGCGCGGGCUUCGGCCUGGCGGCGAGUGGCGAACGGGUGAGUAAUACAUCGGAACGUGCCCAGUAGUGGGGGAUAGCUCGGCGAAAGCCGGAUUAAUACCGCAUACGACCUGAGGGUGAAAGCGGGGGAUCUUCGGACCUCGCGCUAUUGGAGCGGCCGAUGGCGGAUUAGCUAGUUGGUGGGGUAAAGGCCUACCAAGGCGACGAUCUGUAGCUGGUCUGAGAGGACGACCAGCCACACGGGGACUGAGACACGGCCCAGACUCCUACGGGAGGCAGCAGUGGGGAAUUUUGGACAAUGGGCGAAAGCCUGAUCCAGCAAUGCCGCGUGUGUGAUGAAGGCCUUCGGGUUGUAAAGCACUUUUGGCGGGAACGAAAAGGACUGUGCCAAUACCACGGUUCGAUGACGGUACCCGCAGAAUAAGCACCGGCUAACUACGUG
rnacentral:rRNA from 1 species